rnacentral:tRNA from 1 species
GGUGCCGUACCCAAGGGGCUAAGGGAGAGGUCUGCAAAACCUUCAUCGGCGGUUCGAGUCCGUCCGGCACCU